CUCCCCGUAGCUCAAUGGAUAGAGCAGCGCCGUCCUAAGGCGAAAAUGGGGGUUCGAUUCCCUUCGGGGAGA
rnacentral:tRNA from 1 species